AAGCAGGUUCCCCCUAGGCAGAGCGCCAAGAAGCAGCCCAGGCGAUCCCAAGGCGCACAAGUGCUCUCACCAGGCUGCGCGCUGGCGGGUCGGUGCACAGGGACGGGGUCGCCGCCCACGCGCGCUUGGUUCAGGGAGCCCAGGCUGUCCCUACCCGCGGCUACAAAAGCUCGCCGAGUCUUCCUGUCCACCCAAUCGCCCCACAUGUCAGCGGUUGGUCGCCUCGCGGUGCAGUGCUGGGCACGCGAGCCCCUCCCGCAGUCAUUCUCAGCACAAGCACCAGCCUGGAGCCCCGCAGCGACAGAGCUGAGAGCCCCCAAGCCGCAGAGGUCGUGCGGAGCAGAUUUGAUUAAGUGAAACAAAGCCCCAGCUGCUGGAGCAGAGGUUCCACUUGGGUUCCACAGACACCCACAGCCCAAAUCCCUGGAGGCCUAAGGCAAUAGCUAAUUGAGACUAUGCAUCACUAUUAAGGCAUCUUCACUAAAGGGCGCUGUGGAAACGCUGCCUGAGAUGCAGACACCUGUCAGAAGGGGGCUAAAUUUCAAACAAGGAACGUGGUGUUGCAUCACAAUAAAUAGAUACGGGGUUUCACCGUGUUAGCCAGGAUGGUCUCGAUCUCCUGACUUCAUGAUUCACAUGCCUCGGCCUCCCAAAGUGCUGGGAUUACAGAACAGAAGAAACACACGUGUUCUUGUGUGUAAACCCAGUCCAUGGAAGAGACCGUCUGCUUGUCCCUCCUGAUCUCUGGGCCCAGACAACCAGUAGUCACCAUUCCAAGUGAGGGGUGGCUGCAACUCUACAGCCCCGUUCGUCUCUCCUCACUGUCAAAGCUGCUGAGACCCCAGACUCGACACUUGAAAGAAACCCAUGUCUGUGAAGCACUUGUGGACCAUUCAAGAUUGUGGAAGAAUCACUCAAGAGAAGGAGAUAGCAAUAUUUGCAGAUAUGCAAACUGGCCCCUUGCAUGCACAUCCUGGAGCACGUCCUGGAGCCUUUAGAGGAGACGGCUGCUGCUGUUCCAGUCUCUCCUUAGGCAGACUUGAGUUUCUACCCACUCUUCCCAAGCAGCCGCCCCUCCGCACCCGAGCGAGCCAAAGACCUGGCGGGCUGAGUACUCACUGCGCGCUGGACACAUGCUGAGCCGGCACUGCAGGGACACAGGGCGAGCCGCUGGAUGCAGACCUGUGGCCGCGGCAGUUGGGCUUAUCUUGCCCAUGAAGUUGCCUCUGAAGAACCAAGUCCAACUGUGUAUGCUGAGAGAUGUCUGGCUACUUCCUGAUUGACAGUUCUGGCAAGGUGGCAUUGGGCCCUGGCUUUUCCUCUGGAGGCAUCAUCACUUAUAGGAAAAUGUCCCCUGAAGUCCAAGGAUCAAAGCUGCUGGAACACUGAGAAGCUGAACAAAGGAGAACUGUUUCUCAUCAAACCCAGACUUCCAGACUUCCAAUAGGGUAGAAUGAGCAAGUCAGCAAAUCAUCUUCCUUGGAAACAGUGAUAAAACUAGAUGACAUUGUCAACAACAGCCAUUUCAGAAAUCUAGAAAAUGACCAAAGGCAAACAACAAACUGAGAAGCAUUUUUUUUUCCAUGAAAAAUCGCUCUAUUUCUGCAAAAAUAGUGGGAGUCUAUGGCUUCUCAUCCAGGGCUGUUUCUCUCCCCACCCCAGCUCAGUCAGUACAAAGGUUCUGGCAGCAUGAGGCAGACUGAACAGACCUGAAGUUUGAUUGCUGGAAGAAACUGACUCCAGGUUUGGCAGAGGGUGAGAAACCUACUCCCAGCCAUGUUGUCUGGUGACACAGUGACCUUAGGGACAAGUGAAUAGGGAAGGCCAGUGAUUCAUUAACCUGAGGUUGCAGUCCUGGUUGGGGAAAGCAUCAGAAUGGCAGAUAAGCUAGAAAUUUAGUAGGGAUAUGCUGGAAAUGAGACAACCCCAAAGGGGCUUGACCCCAAAGUUGUCCACACACCCCAGCUGCCUUCUGAGCAGAUGUAGGGAGAGACCAGAGAAGGCCUAGGCUAUCCACACAUCUCUGGCUAACCCAGGCUGUAAACCUGUGGAGGAGACACAAGAGGUGGAUUGAUUGCUAAUGGGCAUAUGGGGGAUCUUACUGGUUGAUAGGAACAUUCUCAAAUUGGAUUGUGGUGAUGCUUGCACAACUCUAAGUUUAUCCCAAAUUGCUAAAUUUUACACUAAAAAGGGGUGAACUUUAGGGUAUAUAAAUUAUACAUCAAUAAAGUUGUCAUAAAGCAUUCACAUUCUAAUAAAUGGCUCUAAGAAAUAUUGUUUUGAAAAUUUUCCUUUGGUAUAUUAUGGCACUCCAAAAUCAACUUCUGUCAGAACAAUAAUUAACUAUUUCUGAUUAUAGAUAUUGGUCAUCUACAAUGAUUUAUUCAGUCUUUUAUGUCCCGCAUAAGGGCUUAGAAUGCUUUAAAUUUCUAAGACCAUCAAUAGCCAGGACUCACCUGAAAACUAUAUAUAUUUUUAAAAAGACGUAUGCUCUGGGACACCAUAUGCUAACAUUUGUUGAGCACACAGUUUGCUACAGAGGUUAAGAGGUGUACUAUUUAAAUCUAACUUCCUCAAGGGGCUCACACUAUUACAAUAGUAAGCUAAAGAGAUAGAAGAAAAGUUUAUAUAUAAAAUCUCAGUACAGGGAUGGGGUUGGUAACAAAUAAGAUGCUGCCACUUACACUUGAUAAAUUAUAAAAUAUCUAUUGCAUUCAUUAUUGGAGGCUGACCCUUAUAAAAACCUUGUGGGUACUGCAAAAGACAGGGAAACCGAGGCUCAGAGUGGUUCAGCAACUUGUGUGAGGUCACAUACCUCAUGUCAAAGCUGAGAUUUAAAUGUGUGUGGCUAGGCUGGACAUGGUGGCUCACACCUGUAAUCCUAGCACCCUGGGAGGCUGAGGUGGAACACACUCCUUGUUUGUGUCCAGGAGUUCAAGACCAGCCUGGACAACAUAAUGAGACCUCAUCUCUACAAAAAAUAAAAAAUUAGCUGGGUGUGGGGCCACGCACCCCAAGGUUCUCAGGAGGCUGAGGCAGGAGGACUGCUUGAAAUCAGGAGGUUGAGCCUGCAGUGAGCUGUGAUCAUGCCACUGCACUCUGCCUGGGUGACAGAGUGAGACCCUGUCUCAAAAAAAUAAAAAUAAAAACAAAUAAAUGUGUGUGGCUGAUUCUCAUGCAAAUAUUGGUGAAGAUCUGGUAGUGAUGUAAAUUGGUAGAACCUCAGUGGGAGAUAACUUUGCAAUAGCUAUCAAAUGAAAACUGUGUAUAUUCUUUGUUUCAGGAAUUUCACUUCUAAGAUGUUUUUAAUAUAGCAGAAAUGGUUAUCCAUAAAGAAUUAGUUCAAUACAUUUUAUCUGUAAAAUGGAAUGCAAUGCGGCCAUUAAAAAGGAGGCAUAUCUGAGUAUACUAAUAUAGAAUGGUCUGCAAGAUAUAUUAACUUUUUUACAAAAGCUGUUCCCCACACUUCUUCGUGUUGUUUGAAAAGACGUGAAGGCUCAGACAGGCCUUCAUUGUGACUUGCCCAGGAUGAGUAGCAGGGCUGGAAUUCCUACUCAGGAGUCCAGAUUUAUAGGCUUCCUCUUUGCUUUAUCCUAUUUCAUAGCUGUCUCUGUUGCCAGAGCCAUGGAAGG
rnacentral:lncRNA from 10 species